CCCUCCUGUAGGGUCCCGCUGGAGAGAGAGGUGAACAAGGUCCCGCCGGAGCCCCCGGCUUCCAGGGUCUGCCUGGCCCCGCUGGCCCCCCCGGAGAGGCUGGCAAGCCCGGUGAGCAGGGUGUCCCCGGAGAUGCCGGUGCCCCCGGUCCCGCCGGUGCCAGGGGUGAGAGAGGUUUCCCCGGUGAGCGCGGUGUCCAGGGCCCCCCCGGCCCUCAGGGUCCUCGUGGUGCUAACGGUGCUCCCGGAAACGAUGGUGCUAAGGUGGGUAUGGGGGGUUCUGCUUUUU